GUCUAUGGCCAUCCCACCCUGAACGCACCCCACCUUGUCUGAUCUUAGAAGCUAAGCAGGGUCAGGCAUGGUUAGUGCUUGGAUGGGAGAAAACAUUCAAUAGUAGAAG
rnacentral:rRNA from 1 species